ensembl:lncRNA
AGUACAUACUGCCCAUCUGAAUUCGGACUUGAGAUGAGGUCAGGGUCGAGUGCGGUCCGCGUUGCCCUCAGGUCCUGUCUCUUUCUUCCCUUCUGGGAUCCAGGGCCUGGAGGGGCACCCAGAGAAGCUGCAGGGCCUAGGGCCUUGGAAAAGCGUCUUCUCGCAGGCUUGGUGUUCCCAGCACAGAGGGCGGGGGCCACAUUGAGUCAGAGCCGCUGAGCCCGCAGGACCCCUGGACCGCAGCUCACGGGGGAUAUGACAAGCCCACCGUCUCUUCUGCCGCUCACCGAGUCGGUAUUUUCCUGCACCCAUGUGUGGCAUGCAGAUACACUCUGCCCUGGAAAUGAAUCCACCCCUAUGCUGGACAUCCCAAGGCUCGCACUAAAAACCCAGUGGCACCCAAGUAUUGGUGGUCUCCUGAAACUCCAUCCUUUUCUUUCCAUGUGAGGCUCUUCUGUUGUCUCUAUUCACCUGGUAUGAAGACCUGACCUAAAGCCAGGUAACGUUAAUUAAGGCUCAUAGAUUCAAUGAUAUAAAUAAAUCUCUCAGCAAGAUCCCUCGAGGAUCCCUG